rnacentral:rRNA from 1 species
ACUGCUCAGUAACACGUGGACAACCUGCCCUUAGGUUGGGUAUAAACCCGGGAAACUGGGUAUAAUACCCGAUAGGUCUCGAUUGCUGGAAUGCAUCGAGAUUUAAAGCUCCGGCGCCAAGGAUGGGUCUGCGGCCUAUCAGGUAGUAGUGGGUGUAGCGUACCUACUAGCCUACGACGGGUACGGGUUGUGAGAGCAAGAGCCCGGAGAUGGAUUCUGAGACACGAAUCCAGGCCCUACGGGGUGCAGCAGGCGCGAAAACUUUACAAUGCUGGCAACAGCGAUAAGGGAACCUCGAGUGCCAGGUUACAAAUCUGGCUGUCGAGAUGCCUAAAAAGCAUUUCAUAGCAAGGGCCGGGCAAGACCGGUGCCAGCCGCCGCGGUAACACCGGCGGCUCGAGUGGUAACCGUUAUUAUUGGGUCUAAAGGGUCUGUAGCCGGCCGGAUAAGUCUCUUGAGAAAUCUGGCAGCUUAACUGUCAGGCUUUCAGGAGAUACUGUCUGGCUCGAGGCCGGGAGAGGUGAGAGGUACUUCAGGGGUAGGGGUGAAAUCUUGUAAUCCUUGAAGGACCACCAGUGGCGAAGGCGUCUCACCAGAACGGACCUGACGGCAAGGGACGAAAGCUAGGGGCACGAACCGGAUUAGAUACCCGGGUAGUCCUAGCCGUAAACGAUACUCGCUAGGUGUCGGCCACGGUGCGACCGUUGUCGGUGCCGUAGGGAAGCCGUGAAGCGAGCCACCUGGGAAGUACGGCCGCAAGGCUGAAACUUAAAGGAAUUGGCGGGGGAGCAC